rnacentral:misc_RNA from 1 species
GAACGCACCUUGCACUCUUUUGUUAUUCAGAAGAGUAUGCCUGUUUGAGUGUCGCGAACCUCUCAACCCCGCCCGAUCUGGGUUGCCUGGGCUUGGAUCAUGGUCUUUAACAAUGCCGGCUGUCUUCGGAACCGGCUGGACUGAAAUACAACAAGCUGGAUCAGAACCUUGCGGCUUGACCUGACGUUGUAAAAUCAACUCGUUGGGGACGCAAAGUUGUGAAUGAGCUUCUGCAAAUAAUCUACUGUUGAUUCAGUACAAUAAGACCUCAAAUCAGGUAGGACUACCCGCUGAACUUAAG